rnacentral:rRNA from 1 species
CGACGGUACAGGGUGAUAGUCCCGUACACCAAAAUGCACAGGCUGUGAACUCGAAGAGUAGGGCGGGACACGUGGUAUCCUGUCUGAAUAUGGGGGGACCAUCCUCCAAGGCUAAAUACUCCUGACUGACCGAUAGUGAACCAGUACCGUGAGGGAAAGGCGAAAAGAACCCCGGCGAGGGGAGUGAAAAAGAACCUGAAACCGUGUACGUACAAGCAGUGGGAGCACCUUCGGGUGUGACUGCGUACCUUUUGUAUAAUGGGUCAGCGACUUAUAUUCUGUAGCAAGGUUAACCGUAUAGGGGAGCCGCAGGGAAACCGAGUCUUAACUGGGCGUUAAGUUGCAGGGUAUAGACCCGAAACCCGGUGAUCUAGCCAUGGGCAGGUUGAAGGUUGGGUAACACUAACUGGAGGACCGAACCGACUAAUGUUGAAAAAUUAGCGGAUGACUUGUGGCUGGGGGUGAAAGGCCAAUCAAACCGGGAGAUAGCUGGUUCUCCCCGAAAGCUAUUUAGGUAGCGCCUCGUGAAUUCAUCUUCGGGGGUAGAGCACUGUUUCGGCUAGGGGGUCAUCCCGACUUACCAACCCGAUGCAAACUACGAAUACCGAAGAAUGUUAUCACGGGAGACACACGGCGGGUGCUAACGUCCGUCGUGAAGAGGGAAACAACCCAGACCGCCAGCUAAGGUCCCAAAGUCAUGGUUAAGUGGGAAACGAUGUGGGAAGGCACAGACAGCCAGGAUGUUGGCUUAGAAGCAGCCAUCAUUUAAAGAAAGCGUAAUAGCUCACUGGUCGAGUCGGCCUGCGCGGAAGAUGUAACGGGGCUAAACCAUGCACCGAAGCUGCGGCAGCGACACUAUGUGUUGUUGGGUAGGGGAGCGUUCUGUAAGCCUGCGAAGGUGACCUGUGAGGGUUGCUGGAGGUAUCAGAAGUGCGAAUGCUGACAUAAGUAACGAUAAAGCGGGUGAAAAGCCCGCUCGCCGGAAGACCAAGGGUUCCUGUCCAACGUUAAUCGGGGCAGGGUGAGUCGACCCCUAAGGCGAGGCCGAAAGGCGUAGUCGAUGGGAAACAGGUUAAUAUUCCUGUACUUGGUGUUACUGCGAAGGGGGGACGGAGAAGGCUAUGUUAGCCGGGCGACGGUUGUCCCGGUUUAAGCAUGUAGGCUGAUUAUCCAGGCAAAUCCGGAUAAUCAAGGCUGAGGUGUGAUGACGAGGCACUACGGUGCUGAAGUAACAAAUGCCCUGCUUCCAGGAAAAGCCUCUAAGCAUCAGGUAACAUCAAAUCGUACCCCAAACCGACACAGGUGGUCAGGUAGAGAAUACCAAGGCGCUUGAGAGAACUCGGGUGAAGGAACUAGGCAAAAUGGUGCCGUAACUUCGGGAGAAGGCACGCUGGUGUGUAGGUGAAGUCCCUGCGGAUGGAGCUGAGACCAGUCGAAGAUACCAGCUGGCUGCAACUGUUUAUUAAAAACACAGCACUGUGCAAACACGAAAGUGGACGUAUACGGUGUGACGCCUGCCCGGUGCCGGAAGGUUAAUUGAUGGGGUUAUCCGUAAGGAGAAGCUCUUGAUCGAAGCCCCGGUAAACGGCGGCCGUAACUAUAACGGUCCUAAGGUAGCGAAAUUCCUUGUCGGGUAAGUUCCGACCUGCACGAAUGGCGUAACGAUGGCGGCGCUGUCUCCACCCGAGACUCAGUGAAAUUGAAAUCGCUGUGAAGAUGCAGUGUAUCCGCGGCUAGACGGAAAGACCCCGUGAACCUUUACUGUAGCUUUGCACUGGACUUUGAGCCUGCUUGUGUAGGAUAGGUGGGAGGCUUUGAAGCGUGGACGCCAGUUCGCGUGGAGCCAUCCUUGAAAUACCACCCUGGCAUGCUUGAGGUUCUAACUCUGGUCCGUGAUCCGGAUCGAGGACAGUGUAUGGUGGGCAGUUUGACUGGGGCGGUCUCCUCCUAAAGAGUAACGGAGGAGUACGAAGGUGCGCUCAGACCGGUCGGAAAUCGGUCGUAGAGUAUAAAGGCAAAAGCGCGCUUGACUGCGAGACAGACACGUCGAGCAGGUACGAAAGUAGGUCUUAGUGAUCCGGUGGUUCUGUAUGGAAGGGCCAUCGCUCAACGGAUAAAAGGUACUCCGGGGAUAACAGGCUGAUACCGCCCAAGAGUUCAUAUCGACGGCGGUGUUUGGCACCUCGAUGUCGGCUCAUCACAUCCUGGGGCUGAAGUAGGUCCCAAGGGUAUGGCUGUUCGCCAUUUAAAGUGGUACGCGAGCUGGGUUUAGAACGUCGUGAGACAGUUCGGUCCCUAUCUGCCGUGGGCGCUGGAGAAUUGAGGGGGGCUGCUCCUAGUACGAGAGGACCGGAGUGGACGCAUCACUGGUGUUCGGGUUGUCAUGCCAAUGGCACUGCCCGGUAGCUAAAUGCGGAAGAGAUAAGUGCUGAAAGCAUCUAAGCACGAAACUUGCCCCGAGAUGAGUUCUCCCUGAGACUUUAAGUCUCCUGAAGGAACGUUAAAGACGAUGACGUUGAUAGGCCGGGUGUGUAAGCGCAGCGAUGCGUUGAGCUAACCGGUACUAAUGAACCGUGAGGCUUAACCUU